rnacentral:rRNA from 1 species
AUACGGAGGAUCCGAGCGUUAUCCGGAUUUAUUGGGGUUAAAGGGUGCGCAGGCGGGGGCUUAAGUCGGCGGUGAAAUUUUGGAGCUCAACAGUAAAAGUGCCUUAGAAACUGGUUUCCUUGAGUGUAGCUGAAGUAAGCGGAAUUUGUGGAGUAGCGGGGAAAUGCAUAGAUAUCACGUGGAACUCCGUUUGCGCAAGCAGCUUACUAAACUACUACUGACGCUCAGGCACGAAGGCGUGGGGAUCAAACAGGAUUAGAUACCCUGGUAGUCCACGCAGUAAACGAUGAUUACUAGAUGUUUGCGAUACAAUGUAAGCGGCUGAGCGAAAGCGUUAAGUAAUCCACCUGGGGAGUACGUUCGCAAGAAUGAAACUCAAAUGAAUUGACGGGG